UUUCUUAAAAAAAAAGAGCAGUGUCUUUGAGACACUGGCCAUCUGCUUGAGUUUCAGAUGCUCUUUUGGGUCACCUGAGGUUAUCGGUAUAGUAAGAUUCCAGGUUCAUGGCUUCCUAUUAAAAAGUCAUCAAAAUAGGAGUUGAUCUUCCAUGCACCUCUUGAUAUGCACGAAACUCCCUGCACAUACACACAUAUGUAUAUACCUUAAGUAAAAUUCUGUGAGUGUACUCUUCCUUUUGGUAUUCUGCAUGCUUUUGUGCAGCUUGUAUUCAGAUCUAGUUGUUCUGGCAUGCAAUUGUUUGAUAGAGUGUGCUUAGAACCACGUCAGGUUCAAAUGCAAUUAUUUCACCUUCAUGAAUAAAAUAAAUUUGCGUCUCUCUGUCUGGAAAUGCCAUUUGCUUGCUAGUUUGUGGAUGUUUUAUGCCGAUAGCUAUUUGUUCCCCUUUCAGUGCCUGCAAUCUAAUCAGACAAGUACGGGGGAAAUAUCAGCAAGGCUCUUUCAGUUCAAGAUACAUAAAGGACCAGGAAAUCCUCCAUUAUCCUCCAUCAUUAAAAGCCUCAAAAGGUAUAUAUUUUCAAUGAAAACAGGUAUUCUAAUUCUGUGGAAAUACUCAUCGAGAUCCAGAACUGACAUAAGUCACAGUAAUGCCCAGAGACUGCGGUGGAGCCAUGCCAUUUUACACCAGCUGAUCUGACCUCUGCUAGUGCAUCUUCUGUAGUUACAUUUCUGCAUUUCUCAUGUGUUAGUAACUGGAUUUAUAAACAAUGUGGUAGAGUUUGAGUUCUAAAAUACCUGUAGCUUCUAUAAAACUCUUAGAGCAACAUUAACUGUUAAUAUUUCAGAUAUUUUGAUCAUCUAAGUGAAUGAAAUGCCACAACUUCUUAGGAACAAAUAAUGAAUGUUCACUGUUUGCAAUGUUCAAACAACGAUAUUUUAGGCUCUCAAGUGCUUUCUGUUCCUUUUUUUUUUUUUAAUUUAUUUCCAAAGGAUCAGUCUUGUUAAAAUCAGAAGGAAAAAAAUAAAGGGUAUUGUGAGUAUAUUAGUGUCAAAA